rnacentral:rRNA from 1 species
UUCCAGACUCCUACGGGAGGCAGCAGUGGGGAAUAUUGGGCAAUGGACGCAAGUCUGACCCAGCAACGCCGCGUGAAGGAAGAAGGCUUUCGGGUUGUAAACUUCUUUUAAGGGGGAAGAGCAGAAGACGGUACCCCUUGAAUAAGCCACGGCUAACUACGUGCCAGCAGCCGCGGUAAUACGUAGGAUCCGAGCGUUAUCCGGAUUUAUUGGGUUUAAAGGGAGCGUAGGCCGGUCUUUAAGCGUGCCGUGAAAUUUUGUGGCUCAACCAUGAGAGUGCGGCGGGAACUGGAGACCUUGAGUGCGCGGAAGGCAGGCGGAAUUCGUGGUGUAGCGGUGAAAUGCUUAGAUAUCACGAAGAACCCCGAUUGCGAAGGCAGCCUGCCGCAGCGUUACUGACGCUGAAGCUCGAAAGCGCGGGUAUCGAACAGGAUUAGAUACCCGAGUA